rnacentral:misc_RNA from 1 species
UCCUAUUUAGUAGGCAGUCUGGCUAGAUAAUGCAACUAGCCACGAGGGUUGCGCUCGUUGCGGGACUUAACCCAACAUCUCACGACACGAGCUGACGACGGCCAUGCAACAUCUGUGAACUUGUCCGAAGAGGGCGACGUUUCCGCCGCUUACAAGCCCAUGUCAAGCCUAGGUAAGGUUCUUCGCGUUGCAUCGAAUUAAACCACACGCUCCGCUGCUUGUGCGGGCCCCCGUCAAUUCCUUUGAGUUUUAACCUUGCGGCCGUACUCCCCAGGCGGAACACUUAAUGCGUUUGCUGCGGCACGGAGGGGCUCGAUACCCCCCACACCUAGUGUUCAUCGUUUACUGCCAGGACUA